AGUACCUCCAGAAAGGAGGCAGAGAAGGAGGCAAAGGACAAAGGCAGGCCUGGAUUGCACAGAAACUGGAAACUCAUCAGGAUUUGGCCACACCCCAGGAAGGAAAAUUUUUGCACUGACUCCAGAAGAAGGAAAAUCUUGAUGCAGUUUGGACUUUUCCAGUGCUCUGGGGGAUGGAAAGCUGAACCUUCCAGCAAGGUCAAAGAGAGCCCUACUAACUCAGAGGAAAUAUCCUACAAGAGCUGAAGUCUAUCAAUCCUUCCAGAGAAAGCAAAAACAUGGAUUGGAGAAAGAAAGGCUAUUUGCCCUCCAUUUUAAUAACACCCAUUUUCAA